AUUGAACGCUGGCGGCAGGCCUAACACAUGCAAGUCGAGCGAGCGGCGGACGGGUGAGAAAUGUAUGGGGACUGCCCGAUAGAGGGGGAGAACUACAGGAAAAGGUGGCUAAAACCGCAUACGGUCGGAUAACCCAUAUGGGAUUAGCUAGUGGGUAAGGUAAUGGCUUACCUAGGCGACGAGCCCUAGCUGGUCUGAGAGGAUGAUCAGCCCCACUGGAACUGAGACACGGCCCAGACUCCUACGGAGGCAGCAGUGGGGAAUAUUGCACAAUGGGCGCAAGCCUGAUGCAGCCAUGCCGCGUGUAUGAAGAAGGCCCUAGGGUUGUAAAGUACUUUCAGUCGGGAGGCGUUACCGACAGAAGAAGCACCGGCUAACUCCGUGCCAGCAGCCGCGGUAAUUC
rnacentral:rRNA from 1 species